GACGAACGCUGGCGGCGUGCUUAACACAUGCAAGUCGAACGAAGUGGCGUACGGGUGAGUAAUACGUGGGUAACUUGCCCUCCUCUCUGGUAUAAGCAUUGGAAACGUGGUCUAAUACCGAAUAAAGGGGGAUGGGCUCGGGGCCUAUCAGCUUGUUGGUGGGGUGAUGGCAUACCAAGGCGGUGACGGGUAGCCGGCCUGAGAGCGAGACCGGACACAGUGGGACUCGUAUACUGCCCAGGCUCGUACGGGAGGCAGCUGUGGGGGAAUGUGCAGAAUGCGCUAGAGGCAGAUGCAGGGAAGCCGCGAGGGGGAUGAAGGCUUACGGUUUGGAAACCUCGUUAGCUAUCGAACGGGUAGGUGGAGAGAAAGCGCCGGCUAACUACGUGCCAGCAGCCGCGGUAAUUC
rnacentral:rRNA from 1 species